UGGGGAAUAUUGGACAAUGGGGGGAACCCUGAUCCAGCGACGCCGCGUGAGUGAAGAAGUAUUUCGGUAUGUAAAGCUCUAUCAGCAGGGAAGAAAGAAAUGACGGUACCUGACUAAGAAGCCCGGCUAACUACGUGCC
rnacentral:rRNA from 1 species